GAUGAGAGUAAAUCUAAUUUUUCAAUAAAACCAGUGUGACAUACUCGAAAAUUUUUGAUCGAAAGUGUCCCCAGAAGAAAAAAAAUCAUCGAAGAAAAUGUAUUUUACAUUCAAAUAUUUCGCAAGUCUCACGUUGAUUGCAUUGCUGGCGAUUUGCAUCGUGCAUCCCAACGCCGUGCUCGCAGCCGCCACCGACUCACAAAUCACCACACAUCAACAAAUGAGCAGACAAAAGCGAGAAUCGUUUUGCGGUCGAUACCAAGCGUGCGGUUGGCAAAUCUACGACAAGGAAACAGACGAGCUGCACUCGUUCGAGCACAGCCAGUUUUGUCACUGCAGAACAUCGCAAAAGUGUUUAAAAGGAGAUUACUCGGCGUCACAGAAAAAGUACAUAUACAAAUGUUGGAAACCACGCUCGUAAAUCCACGCAGCAACGACGACAACCGAACCACACAAUUAUUAACUAAAAAAUAUUAACUAACAUGAUAUUUUAUGUAAAAAUGCACCAAAUCAGUUUUAUAUACAAAAAUAUAGGAGUUAAGAUAUUCAGUUAUUAUUGAAAAAAACAAAAUCUGAGUGUUCUAAAAUCAAUCAAAUUUUGCAUGCAAAUCGAACACGAGCGACAUUGCAUAAAGUUGAAAGGAAAAUUUUCUCCUCGUCUUUGUCGGAAGUUGAUCAAGUAGUUUUUUUUAUUGCUGUUUAUGCUAAAUAGACCACAAAAGAGGCGAAAAGUCGGCAAAUCAAUGAGCUUACUUUUUUUAUUGACUAUCUUCUUCCUCCCUAUGCGUGACAAU